rnacentral:lncRNA from 1 species
GGAAUGUGCCUGAGCAAUGGAGCCCCUUCCAGCGCUAACAGAUUGUGGGGGAGGGGAUGAGGAUACUGGGGGUGGGGGAAUUACUGAGCUGUCACUUUUUUUCUCUCUCACCUGCCCAACCUUUCACCCACCUUGUCACUAAACCCUUCUUUCUAAACUUCCAUCCUCGCUCUCUGGGUCGCUUUCUUGUAUCCCUUAAUCCCCUCCCGGGUCUCUAACCCUAUCCUUCUGUAUACUUUUGUAUUUUACCCCUCUCUGGGUCCCCGUCUUCCUGACCGUCUCUAUUGCUGGGGCCUUCUUCCUCUUCUCUCUCUGGGUCUCCCCAAGCCCCAUCUUCAUCCCUGUCUUCUUUUUCUGUGUUUUCUCCCUGCCUGUACCCGCCUCCCUGGGUCUUUACCCUACGUCUCCCGUCUCACUUCUCUGUAUCUCCGCCAUAUCUCUGACUUGGGGUCCCUCCUGUGUCCCUCCACCCCAUCCGGUCUCUCCCUGGCCUACAGGUCUCCUGAAGGAAAAGGAGCGCAAGGCAACUCUGCCCUCAGCCCCCGUCCCGGGACCCGUCCUGGAAACGGCGGGCCCAGCGGAUGCCCCAACUGGGGCGGUUAGUGGCGGUGGGUCCCCUCGGGGGCGCUCAGGGCCUGUGGCUGGCCCGAGUCUUUUUGCGCCGCUGCUGUGGGAACGCACUUUGCCUUUCGGGGACGUGGAAUACGUGGACCUGGACGCCUUCUUGCUGGAGCACGGGCUACCGCCGAGCCCGCCGCCCCCCGGGGGCCUGUCGCCGGCACCCUCUCCAGCGCGCACUCCCGCGCCCUCCCCCGGGCCCGGCUCUUGCAGCUCCUCUUCCCCCCGCUCCUCGCCCGGGCACGCCCCCGCGCGGGCCACUCUGGGAGCCGCCGGCGGCCACCGCGCAGGUGCGGCGAAGGGGCGGGGCUGGCGGGCAGGGAGGGGCCUCGCGACACUUUUGGAAGUCUGCCCAAUGAGAUGCUGCGAUCCUUUAGGGGACUUGGGUCCCCAAAUGCGAGAGGAUUAUUCAGUGAGAGGAUAUAUUUUUCUCUAAUACAAAAGUUUCCUCAUUUUCCUGGAGCCAAGACUAGAAACUCAGAACACCUUAGUUAACUGGAAAGUACUAACUCCAGAGUCUGGGUCCAGAAUUUUGGGAAACCAGAUAGGACUGGACUUCAAGGACACCUAAAAUGGGAGCGAGCAGGCCAGAGCGGGGUACUAGGUUCCCGGAUUCUGCCCCCCACCCCCAAGUGGAGGGUGUUGCAUCCUGCCUCCCAGAGUCUUGCAGCAGAGAAUGUCGGGAUCCCGAUUCUGGAUUCUCCAGAGGAGCUCCCCAUAUUCCUGCGUUGGGGACCUAGGAUCUCAGAACUGUGGGAAUCUGGAUGGCCAAGAGCUUGACAGGCCGGUUCUACCACGAUCCGCCCCCCCCCCCCCAAUAGCGCGGGGUGGGUGGGUAGAAUCAUUGUAGCUGUUGGAGCUGAGACCAAAAGGAACAAGAAGGGAGGCGAUCCCUAUCAAGACAAGGAGUCUCGAUGUGGGACGCCUGGGUACACCUGUCCCUGAUCCGACCUCCAGGCAAAACCAGUGCUGCACAUUCCCUCGCCACGUGAGUCCUCCCUCCUUACUGCGCGCACGCGCUCUCACGCGCGAGGAGGCGGGGGCCCGGGAACGUGCGGGUGCUUGGUGGGGAGGAGGGGAAAGGGGAAGCUGUAGGCCACACGUGACGCGGCCCUGAACUGGUGUCCUCGGCUGGCCCUGUCUUUUUUGUUCUUAAAGACACAGGAGUCAACCUUUUUUAGCCAAGCUCCUGGAACCUCCAUCACUCUUAGCAGUGAGUCUAACAAGUCUAAGCUCAGAGCAAGGAUUCAGUAAGUAGGACUCAGACAAGGCAGUGGGAACAAAAAUAACGCUGAAUUUUAAGUUUUGAGGUUUUAGAAGACUCACGGGAUGUUUAAGGCCAGUCAUUUCUGCCUUACUCAUAAGGAUAGAAUUGCCUUCGGUGGUUCUUUGUCACAGGAUUAAUGCUGACAGGAUUUGUGUUAAGACAGCAGAAAAGCCUGCCCUGUGGU